AUUCCAGCUCCAAUAGCGUAUAUUAAAGUUGUUGCAGUUAAAAAGCUCGUAGUUGGAUUUGUGGAUGGAGCGGUCGGUCCGGCACUGUGUGCGGGUACUUGACUGUCUCCGUCCAUCCUUGGGUGGAAUCUGUGUGGCAUUAAGUUGUCGUGCAGGGGAUACCCAUCUUUUACUGUGAAAAAAUUAGAGUGUUCAAAGCAGGCUUAUGCCGUUGAAUAUAUUAGCAUGGAAUAAUGAGAUAGGACCUUGGUACUAUUUUGUUGGUUUGCGCACCGAGGUAAUGAUUAAUAGGGACAGUUGGGGAAAUUCGUAUUCCAUUGUCAGAGGUGAAAUUCUUGGAUUUUUGGAAGACGAACUACUGCGAAAGCAUUUUUCAAGGAUGUUUUCAUCG
rnacentral:rRNA from 1 species